rnacentral:rRNA from 1 species
AUGACGACUCUCGGCAACGGAUAUCUCGGCUCUCGCAUCGAUGAAGAACGUAGCGAAAUGCGAUACUUGGUGUGAAUGGCAGAAUCCCGUGAACCAUCGAGUCUUUGAACGCAAGUUGCGCCCGAAGCCGUCUGGUCGAGGGCACGUCUACCUGGGCGCCSMCC